CAUUGUAACAAAUUCAAUAAAGAUUUUUUUUAAAAUCUUUAAAAAAAAAAAAAGAAAGGGAACCCAGAGGUUGUGAAAUCCAAGCCCUUUGUUUUACGUUUGGGGGAAAUUGAGGCCCCAAAAGAUUAAGGAAUCCAAGUCCACCCAGCAACUGAUCUUAAUUUUAACAUCAGCAGCUUCACCUGCAUCAGCGGGAACUCGGCAGAAGAAGCUCUUGCGUGAUCAAGCCUGGCCCCUGGUCCCGAAGCUAAAUCUUCUUUGGAGAUGAAGAAUCCGACACCGUUCACCGUAAGCUAUCACCACCGGGAAGCAGAGGGGCAGAAGCCCCCUUGUUCUGCAUGGCAUCUGUGCUCACAGCCCAUCAUGUGGCCACCAGGGACCUGCAGGUGUGAUGUCUUUACAGUCCAAGGCCAGGAGCUCUGAGGCAUCCCGGGGAGGACCACUGAGGCCACUGGAAGGGGAAAUGGGGUGAUAACAGCAGCCAUCCUCAAUGCUCCACCCCAGGUGCUGUUAAACCUUGCACGCUCGUAAAGCUGGGGAAACUGUAAGGUGAAGUCACUUGCCCACAUCCAUGGAACAAGCCAAGGGCAGAGAUGGGACUCAGGUCUGUCACACUCCGGCAACUUCGGUGCGACUACCUAGGAAGAUGGUGGGGGCCGGGAGAGAAGUUCAAGCCCCGUCGUCCAUCACGCCAGCGCCAGAGGCCCAUGCAAGCCUUCUCCACACCCACUCGUUGAGAGCUUUUCAAAGCAAUAAGCGCGUCAUGCCGUGCCCCUUCCCUCCCCACUGCUGACACCCUCCUGUGGUUCCUUAAGGAGUGAAGUUGGUCCUCAGCAGCCUCUGGAGCCUCACCCCCACCUGUCCAGACGCCUUUGUAUUUUGUCCCCCAAACUGGCCCCUUCGCAGUUCCUUAAAAGCUCUACGACCAGGAAGCUGAGCCCCUUCUGAGCCCAGUUUCCCCAUGGUCAGAUGGGGCCAUGUUCCCCCCACCCCUUGGAGUCUGCUGUAGCAAGGACAGGGCGUGGAGAAUUCUGUGCAAACUGUAAAGUGCUGUGCCCCCAUUGUACGGGACAAAGGAGAGCAGACAAGGCCGGGCUGCCCGAGGAGGCUGGGCAUCUAGCCACUUGGGCCAUUGUCUAAGCAUCCCUAGCAUCUCCUGCCUCUCCUACCCCUUGCCCCUGUCCUCGUACUCCCUACUGUCCCCAGGGAACGUAGACCCACCCCCAGAUUUACUAGGGCAUGUUAAGAACAUGGUUUGAAGCCAUCUCUGAGGUCAUGAGGUCAUGGCAGUUUCCCAUCGAUCUAUUUGUCCCUCCCUUGGCUGGAGCCCUUUGCCCCUGCCAGUCCCCAAAGCCAUAUCAAACUUCAGCAACCUCCCCCAAGCCUCACUGCUCCCAAGCUAGGUCCCAAGGAGCCAAAACAUGGAGCAGGGCUUUAAAACACUGCCCCUGGGCGAUUUACCAGCUGGGCUGCCCAACCCCUGACCUCGGGAGGAGAUGUAAUGUAUCUCCCUGGUUUAGUUGGAUCAAUGGUGCUGUGGAAAACAGCCCCAAGUGGCUCAGUUAGGACAGCAGAGA
ensembl:lncRNA